rnacentral:ncRNA from 1 species
UCGCAUCCGCCAAACGGUCAAGCCGUGACGCGGAAGGUUUUUAAAAACAGCUUUAACCAGCUCAAGUUUCCUGCAGGGAAACGGAGGUCAGCG